rnacentral:rRNA from 1 species
UACGUAGGGUGCGAGCGUUGUCCGGAAUUAUUGGGCGUAAAGAGCUCGUAGGCGGUGUGUCACGUCGUUCGUGAAAACCUGCAGCUUAACUGUGGGCGUGCGGUCGAUACGGGCAUCACUGGAGUUCGGCAGGGGAGACUGGAAUUCCUGGUGUAGCGGUGAAAUGCGCAGAUAUCAGGAGGAACACCGGUGGCGAAGGCGGGUCUCUGGGCUGACACUGACGCUGAGGCGCGAAAGCUAGGGGAGCGAACGGG